GUUGGGUUAAACCUGCUGGGUUGCGUCGCUGGGUUGUUUCAGGUCAGCGCUGGGUUAUUUAACGCGCCUUGAAGAUGUUUAAAUCGCUCCCCAACUGUCACUUUGGAAGAACAACGGGGCAAAGCCACGGCUUUCAACUGUUUUAAGAAAAGCACAUGGAUACAUUUGUGAGAGAAUAACUCGUCGAGUGCAGUCUUAUUGAUGUGUCUAACGGUUGGAACAAACAUGGAAUUCCUUAACUGAGCAGAGUCCACAAAACCCCAUCCAAUUGUCAUGGCGAUUUAAAAAUGCCAGCAGAUCUCUCAGGAAUUGAUCAUAAUCAAUGGACAGGUAAGGAUAUUCUGGACUAUUUUCCAAAUAAAUUGCAAAUUGUAUAUUUAAUUGCAUUUUUCCACAUGUGGACGCAUACAUUGUGACAUAGUCCAAACGCAAUUGAAAAGCAUUUGUAUUUCAGAUGCCUUACACAGAAAGCUGUCAGUUUGUGUCAAGCGUGGGACUAUACUAUGGGGCAUGUUUUUUAUUGGGAUAUAUUCUGUAGUUUUUACCCCAAAUCUCUCACUGUUUGCACUCUGAUGCACGUCAGCAAAACAACAUUGCCGUUCUACUCUUAUUUACCUAUUUGCAUCUUACCCUAUAUUUUAUACCUCAGGUGAAAAGCAUUUGGUUAAUAGUGAAUAUUGACCAAUAGUACCAUGUGGCUCUAACUGUUAGCAGGGGAUAGUAGUUGCAUUUGGGGUAAAAAUGACAGAAUUAUUUAUUGUGUGAGGUGCCAAGAAUAUAGGGAGAUCCGGGUUGCACUGUCUGUUCUUUAACACGCAUCUCUCGGAGUGGCAGCAGCCUUUAGUAGUGCCUUAACCUCCAUUGUUUAAAGCAUUUGGCACAAUUGACUUUUAGUGACAUCACCUCCCAAUACAAACACUCUCCAUAGUAUGGUCCCACCUCUGGCAAAAAUUGACAGUUUUCCAUGUGAGGCUAAAGUAAAUUGCUAAAGUAAUUGCGAUUCCCUUUGAGUUUUGGCAGGUAACGUGCAACACAGUGAAAAAACAGACAUGGUAAUUAGUAACACCUCAUGUACUUGUUCUUAUGUUGCAUCUAUGCUAACAUUAGUCUGUUUCUCUCUUAUUCCGAGGUCACCGUGGCCACCAGAUCCAGUCUGUAUCCAGAUCAGAGGGUCACUGCAGUCGCCCGGAUCCAGUACGUAUCCAGACCAGAUGGUGGAUCAGCACCUAGAAAGGACCUCUACAUCCCUGAAAGACAGCAGAGACCAGGACAACUAGAGCCCCAGAUACAGAUCCCCUGUAAAGACCUUGUCUCAGAGGAGCACCAGGACAAGACCACAGGAAACAGAUGAUUCUUCUGCACAAUCUGACUUUGCUGCAGUCUGGAAUUGAACUACUGGUUUCGUCUGGUCAGAGGAGAACUGGCCCCCAACUGAGCCUGGUUUCUCCCAAGGUUUUUUUUCUCCAUUCUGUCACCGAUGGAGUUUUGGUUCCUUGGUUUUCCUUAGUUGGGGACAAUUAAUAUCAAGCCAUAUCAUCGACUUGAUUGCACAGAGGGACGAUACAUCACUGAAUCAGUGAUGAACUGACUUUAACUGAAAACUGAGUGUUGACUGUUGUCCCUUUGCAUUAUUACACACUAUUUUCCUAUUUAAUACUGUAAAGCUGCUAUGAUGCAGUAUUUGAUCAAUAUGAGAGGCUUAUUAGUCAUAAUAAAUGGAAAAUACAGCUGCAAACGGACUUUGCUUUUCCAUUUGAAAUUUGGCAGUCACUGUGCAUUCAUGAAAACUGAAAAGGUAAUUUUUGUUUGUUGUUUCUGAAAGUGUUUUUGUUCAAGAUUUGCAAUUGUGUUUGGAUUUUGUCACAUGUGGAAAACCCAAUUGAAAACAUAAUUUGCAAUUCCUUUUGAAAAUUGUCCUUCCGUUGACAGGCUCUAAAGCAGAGUACACUGCUCUCAGGUGUACAGUAGAUCUUUGAAUUUUCAUUUUUGGGUGAACUAUAUAUGUUGAACUACCCUAAGCAGUGCACAUCUACCUACAUAGGAGUCUUUAUAUACUUGAUAUAAAUUUAAGGACAUCUUUAAAUUAUUUUACAUUUAAAUUUAAAGAAUGUUAAUUGUCAAUGUCAUUUCACUGUGUAUUUAAAUAGCUAAACAUGUCAAAAUGUAAUAGUUAAACAGCUAGACAGGUCAUUUAGAAAUAAUUUUCUUAUUUAUUUUAACUGUAAUUCUGUGAUUUUUAUUUUAUUUUUUUUGCAUUUGCUGGAAACAAAAAAAGGGAAAAUUCCAUGUUGUUUGUCAUUGGUACACAUUUUUGAAUAUCAGAUGGCAUUAAAAAUAUUUUUUAACAGUCUAAAUAACCUGUAUUCUUCAUUAUUUAUUAAUCCAUGAUUGCUUUGUUAAGCAAAAGUGAAAUUAUGAGAAUAACCCAGCAAGAAUAACCCAGAAUCAUAAAAAUGCAAAC